rnacentral:rRNA from 1 species
GAUAAACGCUAGCGGCAGGCUUAACACAUGCAAGUCGAGGGGCAGCAUAGAUUGUAGCAAUACAAUUGGUGGCGACCGGCGCACGGGUGCGUAACGCGUAUGCAACCUACCCGUCACAGGGGGAUAAUCCGGAGAAAUCUGGUCUAGUACCCCAUAACAUAUGGAUCGGCAUCGGUUCAUGUUGAAAUUUUCGGAGGUGACGGAUGGGCAUGCGUAGCAUUAGCUUGUUGGUGAGGUAACGGCUCACCAAGGCGACGAUGCUUAGGGGGACUGAGAGGUUUUCCCCCCACACUGGUACGGAGACACGGACCAGACUCCUCCGGGAGGCAGCAGUGAGGAAGAUUGGUCAAUGGGAGCAAGCCUGAACCAGCCAUGCCGCGUGCAGGAUGACGGCUCUAUGAGUUGUAAACUGCUUUUGUACGAGGGUAAAGUGGGUUACGUGUAACCUUUUGAAAGUAUCGUACGAAUAAGGAUCGGCUAACUCCGUGCCAGCAGCCGCCGUAA